AAAUUUUAAAAAUGUUAAUUAAUCUUAAUAAUGUGUUUUCAUAAUUUGUUUCUCACGGCUCCUUUCUAUUAAUUUCUAAUAUUCCUGUUACCAUAUAAUAAUGUGUUAUAUUGUAUUAAUUAUUAUUUAUUCUUUCCUCGUUACGAUCUUCCAUUUGCAUUAAAUAUUUAUUUCUUCAUUGAAAAUAUAAUUUAUUUUGUAACGCAUAAAGGUUACUAUAUGCACGUGUUGAUUAUCCAAAACGGCCGCCUGUGAAUAUCCCUAGUAUAUAGCGACUUUUAUUAAUGUCGAAUCUAUUAUUUAUCUGUUAAUUAUUUGUAACUUUAUUUAGUAGUUGACGUAUAAUUGAAGUGGGAAUAAUAUUAUUUUGCAUUUAUUUAAUGUGUGUAAUUAUUGCAUGUAUUCCGAUGCGCACGUGUAAGAGCUAUCAUAACAAUCCAAGAUGGCCGCUCGUUCUACAAUUCUAAUCCUUCAACGCUAUGUCCUUGACUUGGAACAGUUACAUGGUGCGCGUUUGGUAUCUUCUGGUUCUUCGUUACAUGUCUAACAAUUAUCAUGACUACUUUUACUUAUCCUAGCACUGCAAGCACAUAUACAGAUACAUAUAAAACACUAUAUCUUUAUAAACAUCCGUAUAGUAAAAUAGUCCGUCCACUAUCCUGCUUGCCAAGACAACUUCGUCAGCAUCGAAUUGUUUUGUUAUAGUGUCAGAACACUUCCUUGAUUUUCCAGUUUCCUGUUGCCGUCUUGACUGCCCCGGCAGCAUCCGGUUCAGUAUUCCAUAAGUAUUCACUUAAGUUUGAUAGUAGGCUUCUUGUAAUUGCGUCGGCCUUAAUGUAUAUCUUCCGAUGUGAGUAACAAGCUUCUUAUUAUUAUCAAUUACUAUUCCAAGAUGGUUUACAACAUUCUUCCCCUUUUUAGGUUAUGAUUGGUUACCUCGGUAUUUAUUACCUUCGAUAUCUUCAUAUUGUUGUAUAUUAUGUUUUGCAAAGUUGGAUCCAUAGCCCAUUCUCGUGGAGUUCCUGCGUGCACACUUCCUUUAACGAUGAUUGGUUGCAUACAAACCUCGUUAACUUAUAAGGUACCUUUUCUUGUUUACUAAGACCAUUCCAGUAGUAUCAACUUCGAUUCUUCGUACACAUUUACUCCAAUUUGGUAGUUGGUUUCUCAUAACUGCGUUGACCCUUGUAUAAACCUCUUCGAUGUGAGUAGUGAAUUAUCGUUGUCAUUCACUUAACCUAUCUUAGUUAUUUCUUGAUUCUUCCUACACUUACAAAUUGAUGUUAUUUCUUCUUAUUAAAGACCGCUGUGUCAACGCUGAGUUAUUUCGUUACAAUGUCAUUAAUUUUCUUGAUUUUUCUGGUUUUAUUUUCCAUUGGACAGCUAUAAGUCUGCUAUCGAGCAUCAAUUAUUGAAUGUUAUCAUGCUUCAUUUAGUUUAAUUGAAAUAUAAUUGUAACUCUUUAAUAAUAUUAUUUUCUUCCAUAUAUAUUAUGGCAAUUGAGGUUAGUUUAUCCAUUUGUUUCUGCUGACAGUCGCAUACUAUGUUGUUUCUGCGAAAUUCCUGCAUAUACGCUUCCUUCUACGAUGAUUAAUUGUGUCCUAGGUGCUUUUAACUUUCACUGCUUUUAAUUAUUUUAUUGAAUUAACACGUUGUGUAUUUAAAUGACGGUUAGAACACACACAUAGUAAUUUUCCUUUUUCUUUUUAUGUUACCACUAUCUGCAGUAUUCGACAAGCAGUGUUGUUCCAUAUACCGCCGUAUUACGCUGCCUUAUCAAAUCGUUCUGGUGGUCUGUUUCGAUUAUGUGUUAGUUUUAACUUGUUCGUGUGUAUUGUUCGUGGAUUCCCUUUGACGUUUCGUGUGUGGAUUCUGACAAUAGUGCCUGGUUUAUUGAAGUGUGUUAAUAUGCCUAGAUGUUUUAUAUAUUUUAUAUUCUGUUGUAUAUAAGAUAUAUUUUGUUUAUUGUGGGUUUGUAUGAUAUCUGCUAUAUAUUAAAUCUGCUAUAUAUUAAAUUGUUUGAUACUUCGUA